rnacentral:rRNA from 1 species
CCUACGGGUGGCAGCAGUGGGGAAUAUUGCUCAAUGGGCGAAAGCCUGACGCAGCGACGCCGCGUGAGGGAUGAAUGUCUUCUGAUCGGAAACCUCUGUCUGCAGGGAAGUACGGUCACUGUGCUAAUCAUCAGUGAAUUGACGUUAUCUGCAAAGGAAGCACCGGCUAACUCCGUGCCAGCAGCUGCGGUAAUACGGAGGGUCCGAGCGUUAAUCGGAAUUACUGGGCGUAAAGCGCUCGUAGACGGUAUGUCAAGUCAAGGGUGAAAUCCCUGGGCUCAACGUGAAAACUGCAUUUGAUACUGGCAGACUGGAGUAUAUGUGAGGAUAGUGGAAUUCCAGGUGUAGGAGUGAAAUCCGUAGAUAUCUGGAGGAACAUC